GACAGAGGAUGCAAGCGUUAUCCGGAAUGAUUGGGCGUAAAGCGUCUGUAGGUGGCUUUUUAAGUCCGCCGUCAAAUCCCAGGGCUCAACCCUGGACAGGCGGUGGAAACUACCAAGCUGGAGUACGGUAGGGGCAGAGGGAAUUUCCGGUGGAGCGGUGAAAUGCGUAGAGAUCCGGAGGAACACCGACGGCGUAGGCAGCGCCCUGGACGACACCUGACGCUGAGGCACGAAAGCUGGGGGAGCGAACAGG
rnacentral:rRNA from 1 species